GACGAAGGGGGCUAGCGUUGUUCGGAAUUACUGGGCGUAAAGCGCGUGUAGGCGGUUGUCCAAGUUGGAUGUGAAAGCCUUGAGCUCAACUCAAGAAAUGCAUUCAGGACUGGAUGACUAGAGGACCGGAGAGGAUGGUGGAAUUCCCAGUGUAGUGGUGAAAUACGUAGAGAUUGGGAAGACCACCAGUGGCGAAGGCGGCUAUCUGGACGGUUUCUGACGCUAAGACGCGAAAGCGUGGGGAGCAAACAGG
rnacentral:rRNA from 1 species